rnacentral:rRNA from 1 species
UAGAUGCGAGAGUAGAGCAUAUCAAUAAGCGGAGGAAAAGAAACUAACAAGGAUUCCCUUAGUAACGGCGAGUGAAGCGGGAAGAGCUCAAAUUUGAAAUCUUCAAGGUUCUACCUUGACGAAUUGUAGUUUAUAGAAGUGUUUUCUGUUAGUAGAGUUGGUAAAAGUUCUUUGGAAUAGGACAUCAUAGAGGGUGAGAAUCCCGUAUUUGACCAUUACUUUCCAGCUGUGUGAUACACUUUCAAAGAGUCGGAUUGUUUGGGAAUGCAGUCCAAAAUGGGUGGUAAAUUUCAUCUAAAGCUAAAUAUUGGCGAGAGACCGAUAGCGAACAAGUACCGUGAGGGAAAGAUGAAAAGAACUUUGAAAAGAGAGUUAAACAGUACGUGAAAUUGUCAAAAGGGAAGCGUUUGACACCAGUGUUGUUUAGUUGAAAAUCAAUUAAAAUGAUUUGGAUUUUAGUAGUAUUGACUUCAUCAGCUUUCUGCACUUUCUUUUCUUAAUUAUUUAAUGCACCUUUCAGUUAACAAGUCAACAUCAAUUUCUUUUGUUGUAAAAGAGUAAUAGGAAGGUGGCUUUCUCUUCGGCUCAAAGUGUUUAUAGCCUUUGGCCUCUGCAAUCGGAGAGAUUGAGGUCUGCAGGCGUAGAUCCUUCGGGGUUAGAUACAUUUGUGCUAAGCUAUAGCCUUGUAUAGACAACUUGUUGACUAUGCUCAGUCAUGUAGCUUACUCGCUUAGUGCUAUUUUACCUACGCUUAGGAUGUUGACACACGCGCGUGCUCG